rnacentral:hammerhead_ribozyme from 1 species
AUCCAACUGACGAGUCCCAAAUAGGACGAAAAGCGCAUUUUAGAU